GAUGAACGCUAGCUACAGGCUUAACACAUGCAAGUCGCGGGGCAGCAUGGGGGUUGCUUGCAAUCCCCGAUGGCGACCGGCGCACGGGUGAGUAACGCGUAUCCAACCUGCCCUUCACCACGGGAUAACCCGGCGAAAGUCGGACUAAUACCGUAUGUUGUCCAUUGACGGCAUCCGAUUUGGACGAAAGGGUUGGCGGUGAAGGAUGGGGAUGCGUCCGAUUAGCUGGACGGCGGGGUGACGGCCCACCGUGGCGACGAUCAGUAGGGGCUCUGCAAGGAAGGUCCCCCACACUGGAGCUGGGACACGGUCCAGACUCCUACGAGAGGCAGCAGUGAGGAAUAUUAGUCAAUGGGCGUAAGCCUGAACCAGCCAAGUAGCGUGCAGGAUGACGGCCCUGUGGGUUGUAAACUGCUUUUAUGCGGGGAUAAAGUGGCCCACGUGUGGGUUUUUGCAGGUACCGCAUGAAUAAGGACCGGCUAAUUCCGUG
rnacentral:rRNA from 1 species